GAGUUUGAUCCUGGCUCAGGACGAACGCUGGCGGCGUGCCUAACACAUGCAAGUCGAACGGAGUUAAUGAUUUCGGUUAUUGACUUAGUGGCGAACGGGUGAGUAACGCGUGAGUAACCUGCCCUGGAGUGGGGGGACAACAGUUGGAAACGACUGCUAAUACCGCAUAAGCCCACGGCCCGGCAUCGGGCUGCGGGAAAAGGAUUUAUUCGCUUCAGGAUGGACUCGCGUCCAAUUAGCUGGUUGGUGAGGUAACGGCCCACCAAGGCGACGAUUGGUAGCCGGACUGAGAGGUUGAACGGCCACAUUGGGACUGAGACACGGCCCAGACUCCUACGGGAGGCAGCAGUGGGGGAUAUUGCACAAUGGGGGAAACCCUGAUGCAGCGACGCCGCGUGGAGGAAGAAGGUUUUCGGAUUGUAAACUCCUGUCGUUAGGGACGAUAAUGACGGUACCUAACAAGAAAGCACCGGCUAACUACGUGCCAGCCGCCGCGGUAAUUC
rnacentral:rRNA from 1 species